rnacentral:rRNA from 1 species
UGGGGAAUUUUGGACAAUGGGGGCAACCCUGAUCCAGCCAUCCCGCGUGUGCGAUGAAGGCCUUCGGGUUGUAAAGCACUUUUGGCAGGGAAAGAAACAGCCUGGGAUAAUACCCCGGGCGACUGACGGUACCUGCAGAAUAAGCACCGGCUAACUACGUGCCAGCGGCCGCGGUAAUACGUAGGGUGCAAGCGUUAAUCGGAAUUACUGGGCGUAAAGCGUGCGCAGGCGGUUCGGAAAGAAAGGUGUGAAAUCCCAGGGCUUAACCUUGGAACUGCACUUUUAACUACCGAGCUAGAGUACGUCAGAGGGGGGUAGAAUUCCACGUGUAGCAGUGAAAUGCGUAGAGAUGUGGCAGGAAUACCGAUGGCGAAGGCAGACCCCCUGGGAUGAUACUGACGCUCAUGCA